AGACGUCUACAUUAGAUACCCCGGUAGUCCCAGCCGUAAACUAUGCGCGUUAGGUGUAUCGGUGACCACGAGUCACCGAGGUGCCGAAGGGAAACCGUGAAACGUGCCGCCUGGGAAGUACGGUCGCAAGGCUGAAACUUAAAGGAAUUGGCGGGGAGCACCACAACGGGUGGAGCCUGCGGUUUAAUUGGACUCAACGCCGGGAAGCUCACCGGAUAGGACAGCAGAAUGAUUGCCGGGCUGAAGACCCUGCAUGACUAGCUG
rnacentral:rRNA from 1 species